GUGUCCCUAAGAGAUCCUCCGAACACUUCAUUGGGAUGGUUUAUUAAUUAAGAUUUCCCACUGAAGUGUUUGGGGGAACUCCAAGUGCCAC
rnacentral:pre_miRNA from 2 species